rnacentral:lncRNA from 1 species
GGCUGAAGUUCGCAUUACGUCUAAAGCCCCUUAAACUUCGUAAAGCAGCGACACUCUCCUCCUCCGCCUUCACUCCUCUUGGUUUCUCCUCUCUUUCGCGCUCCUUCCUCGACCGUGGCGCU